rnacentral:rRNA from 1 species
CGAGGAAUAUUGGUCAAUGGGCGCAAGCCUGAACCAGCCAUCCCGCGUGCAGGAAGACGGCCCUAUGGGUUGUAAACUGCUUUUCCGGGGGGAGAAUUUUUCUGUCGUGACAGGAAUUGACGGUACCCUGGGAAUAAGCAUCGGCUAACUCCGUGCCAGCAGCCGCAGUAAUACGGAGGAUGCGAGCGUUAUCCGGAUUUAUUGGGUUUAAAGGGUGCGUAGGCGGAUUGAUAAGUCAGUGGUGAAAACCUGCAGCUUAACUGUAGACUUGCCGUUGAUACUGUCAGUCUUGAGUAUGGUCAAGGUAGGCGGAAUGUGUAAUGUAGCGGUGAAAUGCUUAGAUAUUACACAGAACACCGAUUGCGAAGGCAGCUUACUGGGCCAUUACUGACGCUGAUGCACGAAAGCGUGGGGAUCGAACAG